rnacentral:rRNA from 1 species
AUUGCACGCUGGCGGCAGGCCUAACACAUGCACGUCGAGCGGAGCGCCGGACGGGUGAGUAAUUCCUAGGAAUCUGCCUGGUAGUGGGGGAUAACGUCCGGAAACGGGCGCUAAUACCACAUCCUAUCACAUGAGCCUAAGUCGGAUUAGCUCGUUGUGGGGGUAAAGGCAUACCAAGGCGACUAUCCGUAACUGGUCUGAGAGGAUGAUCAGUCACACUGGAACUGAGAUACGGUCGGGAGCCCUACGGGAGGCAGCAGUGGGGAAUAGUGGACAAUGGGCGAAAGCCUGAUCCAGCCAUGCCGGUUGUGUGAAGAAGGUCUUCGGAGUGUAAAGCACUGUAAGUUGGGAGGCGUUACCAACAGAAUAAGCACCGGCUAACUUCGUGCCAGCAGCGGCGGUAAUUC